rnacentral:siRNA from 1 species
UUGGAUUGAAGGGAGCUCUU